rnacentral:rRNA from 1 species
AACGGAGGGUGCGAGCGUUGUCCGGAAUCACUGGGCGUAAAGGGCGCGUAGGCGGCCUGAUAAGUAGGGGGUGAAAUCCUGCGGCUUAACCGCAGGGCUGCCUUCUAAACUGUCAGGCUCGAGCACAGUAGAGGCAGGUGGAAUUCCCGGUGUAGCGGUGGAAUGCGUAGAGAUCGGGAAGAACAUCAGUGGCGAAGGCGGCCUGCUGGGCUGUUGCUGACGCUGAGGCGCGACAGCGUGGGGAGCAAACAGG